UGUAAGUGGCACUGUGAAACAGUGGAUGUUCAUUAAGUGAUCUUUCCUAGAUCAAAUAGAUCUAAUAGCCGCUUUAUUUUCAACUUCAAUGAUUAAAUCUGCGAGUAUGGUUUAGCUUACCUACAUUGAUUAUUGUCAGAUAAACAAAGCCGGUUCGUUAUUCAAGGUGUAGGAAAACACGACUUGUUCCUGGGUUACUUUGUUCUAAAACUGCUUUUCCUUUAAUUUAUAAUUAAUUGUGAAUUUCACGCUUACAGUACUAUUGUCUUAGCGCUUCAGUUUACUAUAUAAUGAAAGAAAACAGCGUACGAAAUAUAGUGCGUUUUGCGAUCGGAAUUAAGAAGUUAUAUUCAGAAAGCAAGUGACUUCUAAGUGCUGUAAACGUUUGUUUUCGCAAUGACUGACAUUCUUCCGCCUAGUUCAGAACUGACGUAUUUUUCUUCGCUAGCUGAUGCAAUCUUGACUACUUUGCUACCAAUAAUGGAUAAUGAAAGCACUAAUGAAACUGUUCUGGGCUUUGGACCAAAGAGAGACCCUCCAUCAACAGUGAUUCCCAUGACAUUAAUUUAUACAGUUAUCCUGGUUACUGGGGUUGUGGGCAACAUCUGCACGUGUGUGGUCAUUGCUAGGAACAAGUACAUGCACACAGCCACCAAUUACUAUCUCUUCAGCCUGGCGGUAUCCGACCUUCUUCUGCUUAUCUUGGGCCUACCACAAGAAAUGUAUCUGCUGUGGCAACGCUAUCCUUACGUCUUUGGCGAGUUCUUCUGCAUCUUUAGAGGCUUGACUUCCGAGACUUCCACUAACGCCUCUAUCUUGACCAUCACCUCUUUCACUGUGGAACGAUACCUAGCGAUCUGCCACCCACUUCGGGCCCACACCAUGUCAAAGCUGUCUCGGGCGAUCAUGACCAUCGUGAUUAUCUGGGUGCUUAGUGCUUUAUGCGCAAUACCACUGGCCAUUCAAUUCGGUAUUGUCCACGUUUUUUGUACUUUGAAAACGCCCUUGAGCCACGCCUUUGAGAUCUCCACUUUUCUGUUCUUCAUCCUUCCUAUGACACUGAUCACGGUAUUGUACGUGUUUAUCGGAGUAAAGCUGAGAAGGCCCUCGGGUCUGGACCGUAGCGAAGCCACUUCUAGUACCUCAAACGGGGUAAAAUCGCAGCUGAAGCACACCGCGAAGGGAUCAAGUCAGUCUUCUCGACGAGCUGUUGUAAAAAUGUUGGUUGCUGUGGUGGUAGCUUUUUUCAUCUGCUGGGCACCCUUCCACGCCCAGCGUCUGAUGGCUAUAUACGUCAAGAAGCCAACAUCAACAGACCGAAAGGUUUAUGACGUAUUGAACUACAUUUCCGGUGUUUCAUACUACUUCAGCGCCACCAUCAACCCUAUCCUGUACAGUAUCCUGUCUUUGAAGUUCAGACAAGCUUUCAAAGACACAAUAACAAGAUGCUGUGGUUGCCGUCAAGCAAGGAGCGGUAAGUUCAACUACCUGUCUCGCUUAAACAGCACUUACCGUUCGACAGCCUUUGAAACCACUGACAACACAUUAUUAUCUGUGUCCCCACACCACACGUCAGAUGUCAAAAUUCGCCUGCUACUGACCAACGACACUGCGGUAAAUCCUGACCCUAAGGGAACUGAAGAAACAGCUAUGAAUACUCCGGCAUUAUCGGUACAGAGGAGAGGCGAUUCUGAUGGCAACCGUAAAGUCAGCAGUUCAAUAAGCAACAGUAGCUUACGGAUGUUAGAUGAUGAUGCCUUUGAUGAAACAGAACUGUCCAACUGUAUGACAUCAGACAAAUCUGCCAAAAUCUGAUGCAAGCCAUUUAAGCGAAAACAGGAAAAUCCUAAGUUUUUUUUCUUCAGCUCGUUGAUCCACUAUUUACAAAUAUGUCUUUUCUGACUAAUUUACAUGCUGUUAAAACCAUAUUAUCAAAGUCUGCCCUGUCGUAGUGUAAUAUCUCUGAAAUACACCACUUUUACUUAGACUAUCAUAACCUUUAGAAGUCCUUUACAUGCUGUUAACACCGUAUUACCAAGAGUUGCCGUGUUGUAAUGUAAUAUUCAGAAUUAGAACACUACUUUGACUUAGACUAUUAUAAUCUUUAGAAGUCCUUUACAUGCUGUUAACACCGUAUUACCAAAAGUUGCCGUGUUGUAAUGUAAUAUUUCAGAAUUAGAACACUACUUUGACUUAGAUUAUUAUAACCUUUUGAAAUCUUUAAGAUAUUAUGCUGUACAUUUUGGAUAUUAUUCUAAAUAGAAAAUAUCAAACACUUAACAUUUUUGAUAAAGUUUACCUUAUAUUUUAGUUUCUCUUACAUUUUAAAUAUUUUAUUGUGGAAUUUGUUCGAAUGAAAAGGUCAAACUGGUCAUGGCAAAACUUUUCUUUAUUCAGGUAUAAUAUAAUACUUCGGUGAACCAAAUUGUUCUCUCUUUUUGUUGUUUGGUCAACAGUUGUUUUAAAUGAAAACAUUUACGGAACAUGAGAGGGGAUGAAGUCAGGGGCCGAUCUAGGGUUUUCUAAGAGAGGGUGGAACCACCAAGAUAAAUGACGAAUAUUGAUGUAAUAAAGAAACUUUUGUGAAGGCUAAACAUAUGUUCUGCGCAUCGCCCAGGGUUUGGGCGUACGUAACAACUUAGACUUGAAAAUAUGGCUUCCCAUAAGCCUAAUUUAUAACUAAAGUAUUGAAAAAACUUUGGCGAAACGAUUAACUCAGUAUGUUAUUUAUUACUGUACAAAUUCAAUAUGUAUUAGCUACUUAAGUCAAACACAGAAUACAUCUAAGUUGCUUUGGAUGAAGCUGUACAAUUCUCUUUACACCACCUUCUUUAGAAGGCACCUAUAAGGGGUCAUCUGUGUCACUGUAAAAUUCAACAGUCUAGUACUACUUAGACAUGUGUGAAUUCUUCGAACUGUAUUAAAUGUAUCAUCUUGUUCAGAGGGUUUGCACGAUUGAACGGCAAGAAAUGCCAUCAGUUCCUUGAUAUUUGAAAAAAAAAGUCAUAAUCUUUCAAGUUUAAAUCAGAAGAAACACUCAAAUUUAAUUCUUCUCUGCAUUGCCACAACUAGUUUUAACGUGACGGCAAAUGGCAGACAAUGAUUCCACCUCUUCUUCAUCAGGUUUGGCAUUGUCUCCGUUUCCUCAUUAUUUAUCAGUUCCGUCAAUGUGGGUCCUUUUCUCCUCACCGAAUCUUUCUUUAAUUCUAAAUGAAGAACAUCUUGUUUUUUUUAUAGCAAUAAGUGAUGCUACAGGUUUGUUGUUUUCUAUGGCUUAGUGGUAUAAAUGAAAACAGGUUUAUCUUCUUUGCCAAAUUAACUGCAGUUGAAAAAACACUAUAGGGUAACAACUGUAAUUUUAGAAUACAAAAUGAGUUGUGAACUUGAUCGACACUCCUUCAACCAUGAUUAGAUAUCAAGCUUACGAUACUGAAGCUGUGAAACUAAAGAUCGCAUAGGUUUCAGCAGAAGCAUUGCUAGAACAAAGGUAACUGCACAAACUUCUGGGUCAUCUGAUGGUCUGAUGACCCUCAGUUGCGAAGGUAAAAUAUCUUACUAAAUACUCCUAAACUAUAUAUAUGGUUUCAAAGCAGUUAUGAUGUUUAACACGAUGAUUUUUCCCACAAACAUUCAACUUUAAGCUCCUUUGCUUCAGGUGCAACACUGAUAGUGAUCCAAAGAAACUUCGAUCGCUUUAGACUGUUACAGUAAAACUAUAAGGCAUUAGUGUAAACAUCCAUCAUAUUGCACAUUCGGGAUAUUUUAGAGGAUUCAAUAAUAGAAAAGUUAAGAGAAGGAAGAGAAAAUCUUUACUAAACUGCGUCCGAAGCUUAUUUCUUUAAAAUAGAUUGUGCUCCACAACUAAUUCUUAACAUACUAUCUGUUUUUUCGUAUAACUGACCAAAUGACUUACCAGCUGUCACCUUGUAACUCUUCAGAGUUUCAAGUGUAUUCUUUUUGACAAUUACUCCUGUUAAUUUGUCUAACACAAUUAGAUCUAAUAGUGUAUAAUAUUUUCUAGGAUUUGGAACACUCAAAUCAACAAUUUUCAAGCACAGUUCUAAUAUUUUCGUUCCAUGUGAUAUCACUUCAUCUCUCAGGGUACCAAAUUCCCAUACCAUUGUUCAACGUGUCUUCUACCUCUGGAAGUACUUCAUUUCAUAUUGUGUUACUUGUAUAUGAGGAAGGGAAAAAUAAAGUUUAUCCAAUGAUGCAUUGCACUUCGGAAGAAAUCGUUUGGUGGCAUUAAAGUUUCCUUCGUUCUCUGUUGUUUCUUCAUAGCAUUUGAUUUUGUUCUCCCUAUGUCUCCAAAGUGCAAGACCUUGCAGAGCGCAAAGGAGGACAGAGCCAGCUUUAGGUGCAAGUAUGUUUCUAUUCUUUCCCAGAUUCCGUCAAGUUAUUGAAUCAACAACCACAUUAAUCCGAGAGGAUAGGUCAGUAAAUGUUCUUAAGAAAGCUGUAUUUCUCGAUACAGCUUGCUUGAGAUAUUGGUUAGGUUAGUGUUUUAGAGUUAGCUUAUUCAUCUUAUCAUAAGCUCGGCAUAAUCUUUUCCAAGUAGUUAUUUUUGCUUUGCCAUUAACCACAAGACACAUGUAAGGCAAAAUCCACCCCUAUUUUCAUUGUAGUAUAACUUUUUAAAUGAAGUAAGCCACUUUGAUUGAAAAAUAUUACCGUUUUUUAAAUCCUCUGCUAUGAAAGAAAUUCUAGGGAUUUGGUGUCCAACAAGACUUGAUAAAGUUGUACAAUGCUAAAUUACCUUCAAGUUGAUAACUGACGUCAGUAUGAUUUCCAGUAUCCAUUGGACGACAAAUGGUACAGUUUCUCUCUUUUGUGCAACUUUCUGGGACUGAGACAUACUUGUCUCCUUGACUGGCAGUCGGUUGAUAAACUGAUGACACGAUGGAAGAACUGAUACAGCUCCUGAUUCAGUACCAUUGGUAGCAAGCACAAAUUGAAAGUCACCAGUAAUCUUCCUCACCUUUGUCUAUUUCAUGCUGAGAUGCAAAAAAUAGAAUGUAUGUAGAAUAUUUAAAUUGAUACUAAUCUCGCCACCAGGAUUUCAAAACGUAUAUGAAGACUUCCCUUUAAGAUAAUAUUAAGUUGACAGUACCUAUAUUUCUGUUGCAUUGAUUAGGUUACGUUUUUCUUGUUGGUUUUUUUACCCGAUUCAUUGCUUAGUCUUUGUCACCAUUUUUAUGAACGUCUAGGGUUCGCAGGAUGUCUGCGCAUGUAUGGUGGCUAACUUGAUCUCAAUAUAUCUGAUCAGUUUGAUGUGAAUGAUUUUUCUUUGUUCUUUGAUCGUUUUGUUAUAUCUUUUAGGUACCAUUUAAAGAAUCUGUUUGUGUUAUCAUAUGUCUCUCCAUCUUCUCUUUCUUUUCAGAAUGGUUUUCUUAGAAAAUAACAUAUACUAGUAUUAUUAUAGAAAAGCUUUGUGUUAUAUUCUAUAGCUGAUAAAUUAAAACUUCGUUAAGCACAAGUUCACAAUUAAAAAUAAUUAAAGUUUAUUGUUUAGCCAACAUUUCGUUUACUACGUUUAACGAUUUUGAUUCUCGAGUCAUUGUAAGAAUAAAAUACAAAAAAAUCAUUUCCUUGCAACUGAAGUAAACAGUGGCACAAGGAGGAGAAGAAGCCAACUAGAGAAUAUUCUAAGACACGCACGAGUGAUGAGAACUUUAUCGUUGAUUGAGUGAGUAUAAUCAGAAUUCUCCAAAAGACAAAGUUAGAUAAUGACAUUAUCUUCCUUUACAUUGGAUAAAAAUUAGAGAGUGCAGGAAAAAAUAACCAAUAAAUUAUUCGCAUUAGUCUCGUGCAAAAAUAAAUUCUUCAUCUCGUCCGCUUAAAUUUCAUACAGUUCUUCACAGAAAGCAAACCAGUAAAUAUUAGUUCAUUCAUUGCUUUAAAGUAUGUUCAUGUUAGAAUUCUGCAUUGCUUUAUACUUUACCUACAAAUGACAAUUGUUGUAACUGCAAAUAUAUACAGGCAAGAAGAUAUAUAGCCAUGUACAUUUUUGGUUUCCUUACAGAUAUUUAUGUAUGUCUAUAAGGCAGUUUUUUUUUCCUCUUCUUUUAUUUUCCACCAGUUUCGUGACUUCAAGAUAUCACUCCUCAGGAUGUAAUUAAACAGAGAAUCUUAACUGAAGACGUACAAAUAUCACUUUUCAACUAAAUGUAAUUAACCUGAAUUAAACAUAUCCAAUUAUGCUGAAAACAAAUUAAUUUAAGCUUAUAAGUUUUAAUAUGCUUUCACUAUUUUUCUGUGCCUUUAACAUUUUUCUUUUUAUUAAAACUUUAUUUUAAUUAUAUUUUCUCUUCUCAUUAUAGAAUACGUUACCAACAUAACUUGAAGUGCGCUUAUAUUGCUCUAGAGACGCAUGGCGUUGUUAAAAAAGGCUAAGCUUAUCACUUGCAAGAUAGAAUAUUAAAAAUUGUUUGAACAGGCUAAAUACUACAUUUAUUUUAUGACGUUUUAGCGAUAAUAAUUGAAAGCAUCAAUGUCAUACAAAAUUAACGCUGACGCAGUUUUAUGCUUUAAUUUAGCAUGCAAAGUUUGUUUCACUGAUUUAGUAUAUACAGUUCUCACACAGGAUGUAACCGUUAAUUAUUUAACGCCUGCGUGUGUAUUUAAAUCGAAGCGGUAGCUUGAUAUUUGAAUUACGAAUCUACCCAUGUUUUUUUUUCAUGGUAUAGAUUUGUUAUGUCACAGAGAUAAAGAACUGUAUUACAAUCGGGCGUCAAAAAUUAUAUGACAGAUAUAGUUUAGAAUGGUUAUCUAGUGGAUGAUGUAAUAUUUAAAAUAUACAGCAUUGCGUUUGUUUGAAUUUAGCGCAAACCUACUGGAGUUCUAUCUAUUCUAGAUGUCCCUAAUUUUGAAGAGAAAAGGCAGCUCGUCAACACCACCCACCGCCAAUUCUCGGGCUACCCUUUACCAACGAUUAGUGGGAUUGACCGUCACGUUAUAACAACCCCACGGCUGAAAGGGCGAGCAUGUUUGAUGAAACGGAGAUUCGAAACUGCAGAUUGCAAUCGAGCACCUUAACCACCUAGCCAGGCACAGCACAAAACCUAUUCUGUAGCUUUGCGCUUAACAACAAGUAAACAGAAAAACUGUGUUGAAAAUGAAUUUUUUAUUUUGUAGUUGGCUGGAAGGUUUGUAAUUAAACACAAAGCUACACAAUGGGCUAUCUGUGUUCUGCUCACCACGGGUAUCAAAACCCGUUGUCUAGUGUUGUAAGUCCGCAGACAUUCGGGUGUGCCAAUAAGGGGGGAGCUAUUAUUUUGUAUGUCUUCACCUGUUUCAGGACAUCAUUGUAAAUCUACGAUUCGUCGUAUAUUUUAUGAUUGUAGUGAAUGUGUACAUAUUUUUAACAAUUGAUCGUUACAUUAUAACGCCCACGUGGCUGAAAGGGCGAGCAUUUUCAGGGACAGGAUUCGAAGGUCUCGAGUCGAACGUCCUAACCACCAAGCCAUGCCAUGCCUACGUCAUUUCGCUUAGCACGUUGGUUUAGUUUUUCGUGUAUAUGUGUAGUAUUUAAUGUCGUUGCAUGUUGUAUAAUUUCCCGUGGACUGCUGAUUGUCUGGUAUCUGGUUUGAAGACGUCAUUUCAGGCUCUGGGUUUAUGAAGAAAUUCCAUAAGUGCUAUUUAGCAUAUUAUUCUUUAUGUAUCACACGAGGCUAUUCUAACGUGUAAUAAUAACAAAAAUUUUAUUUUAUUACCAGAUAUGGUUUAAUGAGAAGUGCAAGAUAAAGACAAAUAAACGUUAACGUUAGACACAAACAUUCAUUCUGGCGGCAGAAUUACUGCUCUAUUUACUAUUUUCAUUGAGUGUGUGAACAAGAAAAAUAAAAAACAAAAAUGAAUUCACUCAUUUCCAAUAUAUAUAUAUAUAUGUAUAUAAAUAAAAUUCGACAUUUCAAUUAUGUUUUAAAAUUGAUCAUAAAUUUCUAAACUUAAACAGUUUUCUUCAUUAAAGUUUUUAUUAGUUAUUCUUAUUCUAACGUAAAACAUUACGCAAUGUACAUUUUAACAAGUUAACACCACCAGGUGAAAUAAUUGUCAGACGAUUCUUUUUCAUAAGGCCAUAGUCGUGUUUCAAUACAUACGAUUUUUCAUGCACUCCACUAAUAUUGUUUGAUUAGCUGAGUUUAAGCACGUUUGUUGCUGAGUUUUGUGCUUUACAAAAAAAAAAAAAGUACUUAGUGCUACAAUUUGUGUUGAGUAUUUGGAGUAUAUUAAGAAACGAAAACAGACAAAAAAAAACAACAAAAAUGUCAUAUGAGGAUAAAAUAAAGAAGCAACUGGGCACAGGACACAACGAAGAAAUGUUUUCAAUAUCCCAUCUCGAAGAAAUGUUUUUCUUACUUUAAGUGUGAAACAUUCCCUACAAAUAUAAGAAUAUAAAUCACAAAAAAAAUUUUGUUCAAAAUUAUAACGAUAGUUUAUUUUAUUAUAUUACAAAUCAACAGCUAUUCAGAUCCUUUCACCACAGUACUAUUGUUUAAUCAACAUGUAGAACGGAAAUACGAGUAGCUUAAAAAUGCAUAAAAUAUCAAACUCUUUAUGCUGUACUGGACUAUUUGAAUAAUGACAUAUUGUUGAAAGAGGAAUUUGGCAACAACUAAAAGGACUUUUUCUGUUGUUUCAGAAUGGAUUUCAACCGAGUUUAUGUCUGUUCAUCACCAAAGAGCGCCAUCUACUGAGUGAUAAAAACAAUGAAGAUAUAUAUCCUAGUCUAACUGAGGAAUCAUGAUCAGAAAAGACUCACUUCUUCAAUUAUUCGCAAAAUUUCACUCAGCCUACGUAGUAUUUGUUAUUUACUUGUAACGUAAAAUUGAAAGCAAUUUUAUGAAUCAUUGUCAAAUAAAUGUAAAUGGACAUAUUAUAAUAACAAUACAUUAGAGAUUUCUUCUGUAUAAAUGUAAGUGAAAUAAAGACUCGAAAAAGUA
rnacentral:misc_RNA from 1 species